GUUGAUGCUGCCGGACCCGACUGCUAUUUGGGUGAGGAUAAGCCAUGCGAGUCGAAUGGGAUACCUAAAUUUCCCAUGGCGAACUGCUCAGUAACACAUGAUCAACUUACCCUAUUGAGAAAGAUAACCUCGGGAAACUGAGGAUAAUAUUUCAUAGUUGAAUUGGCUUGGAAAAGUUUUUCAACAAAAGGGAUAGGGAAAAUGGUCUCUAUCCGCUAUAGGAUAGGAUCGUGUUCGAUUAUGGUAGUUGGUGAGGUAAAGGCUCACCAAGCCGAUAAUCGAUAGGGGCCGUGAGAGCGGGAGCCCCGAGAUGGGUACUGAGACAACGACCCAGGCCUUACGAGGCGCAGCAGGUACGAAACCUCCACAAUACACGAAAGUGUGAUGGGGUUACCCAAAGUGUUCAUUAUUGAACAGUGGUAGGAGAGUAAUGUCCCCUACUAGAAAGGAGAGUGCAAGGCUGGUGCCAGCCGCCGCGGUAAAACCAGCUCUUCAAGUGGUCGGGAUAAUUAUUGGGCUUAAAGUGUCCGUAGCCGGUUUAGUAAGUUCCUGGUAAAAUCGGGUAGCUUAACUAUCUGUAUGCUAGGAAUACUACUAUACUAGAGGGCGGGAGAGGUCUGAGGUACUACAGGGGUAGGGGUGAAAUCUUAUAAUCCUUGUAGGACCCCCAGUGGCGAAGGCGUCAGACUGGAACGCGCCUGACGGUGAGGGACGAAAGCCAGGGGAGCGAACCGGAUUAGAUACCCGGGUAGUCCUGGCUGUAAACGAUGCAUACUAGGUGAUGGUACGGCUAUGAGCCAUAUCAGUGCCGUAGGGAAACCGUUAAGUGUGCCGCCUGGGAAGUACGGUCGCAAGGCUGAAACUUAAAGGAAUUGGCGGGAAGGGCGAAUUCG
rnacentral:rRNA from 1 species